UACGUAGGGAGCAAGCGUUGUCCGGAAUCAUUGGGCGUAAAGAGCUCGUAGGCGGUUUGUCGCGUCUGCUGUGAAAACUCAGGGCUUAACCCUGAGCCUGCAGUGGGUACGGGCAGACUAGAGUGUGGUAGGGGAGAUCGGAAUUCCUGGUGUAGCGGUGGAAUGCGCAGAUAUCAGGAGGAACACCGGUGGCGAAGGCGGAUCUCUGGGCCAUAACUGACGCUGAGGAGCGAAAGCAUGGGGAGCGAACAGG
rnacentral:rRNA from 1 species